UGAGUCGUUCUCAAUGUGUCAGUGACUUAUCUCGUUUGGGCAGUUACUUAUAAAACUGACCUGUUUGUGGACCAACAGUAUCCGCCCGCUCGUAUGACCCUUUCCCAGUAACUGUUGACUCUUAGACAUGCAUUUAAUCAUAGCUUCCACCCUUGCUGUUAACUUUAGCAGUUGUGGCUGUUGAGGGGAAUAAGUGUGAAACCGGAUGGGCGGCGUUCAAAGAGGAUUGCAUCUACUUUGGUCAUGAUCGUACUUCAUGGGACGACGCCGAGAAAAGAUGCAGAGAUAGAGGUGCAUGGCUUCUCUCAGAUGACAGUGAAGAUAAACACGAAUUCCUUUCCGACAUCCUAAACGUUCUAACCAAUUGGCGCUAUGAACGAUUUUUUAUCGGAGGGUCGGACUACUAUUUCGAGGGGCAAUUUCGUUGGGUUGAGACUGGAAUGAAUGUAGGCCCAUUUACAAGAUGGGCGACAGGCCAGCCUCAUAUGAACAACACCCGAAACUGUCUGAUGCUGGAUUGGGAGAACGACCAGCUUGUCUGGUCUGACCAGGCGUGUAGACCCCGAGAGUACACGUACUAUCUCUGUGAAAAACUUGCUAACACCACAACUGGACCAGGUAUCAUUGGAUAAGCUUGGACUACCGAGAAUGAUUUAUUGUAUGCUUUGUGAAUAAAAGAAAUGUGGAAAUUGUA